CACCCUAAGAACGCACCAACCCAGGGCCAAGGCUGAGUAUUUUGGUUGUUUCGUGAUUUAAAGAGAAUCAGUGCCCUAAAGAGUAACUCUAUCAGCACGGAAAAGCUAUGAAGGAUUUUUUCUGGUUCAUUUGGAGCACAUUUGAAGGGUGAAAAAGAAGACAGAGGAAGCUUGAGAGACUCGAGCCUGGACACUAGCCAUGGAGGAGGAUUAUAUGAAGAACAGUCACCCUGAUGUCAUAAGGCAGCAGCACAUGAGCAACGUGGAUAAGGGCUACUCUGAGAGCAAGCGUGCCGAUUCGGGGCCAAAUGGUUGCAUGCGGUGCUGCAUGAGUACCAAGAAAUGCCUGAUGAGCCCAGAAUGUGGCAGAGCACUCAGCAUCGCUAAUGUCAUCGCCAUGUGUGGCAUGUGUAUCCGGAUGUGGACGUAGAUGUCUACUGCUUCUGAAUCAAGAAAAGCUUGUCUCCUGGUGGCUGCCGCCCUGAACUUAGAACAAUAGGAGGCAUCAUGAUUAUGGAAUCUCUACUAAACCUUUACUAAACAACCAUUAUAACACACCCUUAGGUUGAACUCCAUUUUAUUUUAUCACCUCUAUCAAUAAUAAUAUAUCUUUGAAAACACGGCCAACAUUGCAGCAUAUCUGUAAGUAAACAAUUUUAAAUAGGAGAAAGGGUAAUGAAAAUGUAAUGUAAAAAAUGAUUCUCCGAAUGGAUGAAUAACAUUAAUUUUUAAUGUAUAAAACAUGUCAAGGAUGUUACAUGGAUGCCAUCCUCAGGUCUCUGUCUUCCCUCAGCUGCUCUGUCUUAGCAUUUGUAGAAGUGACUGAGUGCCUGCAGGUGAACAAUCAGAAAAACCCAGACCUUGAUUUUAACAAUCCACCACUUUAUGCCUCAACAAAAACCCUGGGUAUUAGAUACUUUUAGCUCAGAACAGUGCUGUGAAGGGUGAUUUUUCAACUACUUUCUGCUACAGAUUAUUCAGUGCCGCUCUACGAUUGUCAUCUGCAGCUAAAGUAAUUAAACUGAAAAGACUGGUAGUACUGGAGGUCAUGUUCAUUUAGUCAUUUAGUGUUUAAUUUUCAUUUUGUUGACAAUUUUUCAUGGUUAAUUACCGUAAAUCAGUUAAGUAAGUUAAUCAUUUGAAGUGUCUUCCCCCACAAUUGUAAUGCUUUUUAUUUGCAUAUGAGUAAUGAAGAAUAGUUGCCUUUUUGGAAUUCUCAACACAUAACCUCAUGUAUUCUAUUAUUCUCAUAACUGAUUAUGAACUAACUAAAACACUUGUCGUUUUUCUAAAUUUCACAAAUUUCACAAAAAAGUGACAUUUCUGACUUUGAUUUACUGCUCUCUGCUCUUCAAAAUACAAAGAAAACAUGAUACAUA